rnacentral:rRNA from 1 species
GUCACUGCUAUUGGAGUUCGAUUAAGCCAUGCGAGUCAAUAGUUCUUCGUGAACUAGGCGGACUGCUCAGUAACACGUGGGUAAUCUACCCUCAGGUCAGGGAUAAUCCCGGGAAACUGGGAAUAAUAACUGAUAGGUGAAGAUGUCUGGAAUGAUACUUCGCCCAAAGCUCCGGCGCCUGAGGAUGAGCCUGCGGCCGAUUAGGUUGUUGGCGGUGUAAUGGACCACCAAGCCCGUGAUCGGUACGGGUGUUGAGAGACAUAGCCCGGAGAUGGGGGCUGAGACACGGCCCCAGGCCCUACGGGGCGCAGCAGGCGCGAAAACUACGCAAUGCGCGAAAGCGUGACGUGGGAACUCCAAGUGCCUUGCCUUAGGGUAAGGCUUUUGUUUAGUGUAAGUAGCUAAACGAAUAAGUGCGGGGUAAGACCGGUGCCAGCCGCCGCGGUAACACCGGCCGCGCAAGUGGUGACCGCUUUUAUUGGGCCUAAAGCGUUCGUAGCCGGUUUGGUAAGUCUUUGGGUAAAUCCUCCAGCUUAACUGAAGGAAUUCCGAAGAUACUGCCAGACUUGGAGUUGAGAGAGGUCAGAGGUACCUCCGGGGUAGGGGUGAAA